UUACCGAGUUUACAACUCCCAAACCCAAUGUGAACGUUACCAAACUGUUGCCUCGGCGGGGUCACGCCCCGGGUGCGUAAAAGCCCCGGAACCAGGCGCCCGCCGGAGGAACCAACCAAACUCUUUCUGUAGUCCCCUCGCGGACGUAUUUCUUACAGCUCUGAGCAAAAAUUCAAAAUGAAUCAAAACUUUCAACAACGGAUCUCUUGGUUCUGGCAUCGAUGAAGAACGCAGCGAAAUGCGAUAAGUAAUGUGAAUUGCAGAAUUCAGUGAAUCAUCGAAUCUUUGAACGCACAUUGCGCCCGCCAGUAUUCUGGCGGGCAUGCCUGUCCGAGCGUCAUUUCAACCCUCGAACCCCUCCGGGGGAUCGGCGUUGGGGAUCGGGACCCCUCACCGGGUGCCGGCCCUGAAAUACAGUGGCGGUCUCGCCGCAGCCUCUCCUGCGCAGUAGUUUGCACAACUCGCACCGGGAGCGCGGCGCGUCCACGUCCGUAAAACACCCAACUUUCUGAAAUGUUGACCUCGGAUCAGGUAGGAAUACCCGCUGAACUUAAGCAUAUCAAUAAGCGGAGGAAAAGAAACCAACAGGGAUUGCCCCAGUAACGGCGAGUGAAGCGGCAACAGCUCAAAUUUGAAAUCUGGCCCCUCCGGGUCCGAGUUGUAAUUUGUAGAGGAUGCUUUUGGUGAGGUGCCGCCCGAGUUCCCUGGAACGGGACGCCACAGAGGGUGAGAGCCCCGUCUGGCUGGA
rnacentral:rRNA from 1 species